CUCAACCUGAACUCAGUCGUGAUUACCCGCUGAACUUAAGCAUAUCAUUUAGCGGAGGAAAAGAAACUAAAAAGGAAGCCCUUAGUAACGGCGAGUGAAACGGGCAGAGCCCAGCGCCGAAUCGUUCAGUCUUUGGCUGCUUCGAAAUGUGGCGUAUAGGUGUAGUCUUCCAGCAGUGUCGUAUGUCCGAAGUCCUUACGAUUGAGGCCAUAAACCAGAGAGGGUGCGAGCCCCGUUCU
rnacentral:rRNA from 1 species